AGAGUUUGAUCCUGGCUCAGGACGAACGCUGGCGGCGUGCCUCAUACAUGCAAGUCGAGCGGAUGCAGCAAUGCAUUAGCGGCGGACGGGUGAGUAACACGUGGGCAACCUGGCCUUAAGAGGGGGAUAACGUUCCGAAAGGGACGCUAAUACCGCGUAAAUCAGCGAAAUCGCAUGAUUUUGUUGGAAAAGGAGAAAUCCGCUUAAGGAUGGGCCCGCGGCCUAUUAGCUAGUUGGUAGGGUAACGGCCUACCAAGGCGACGAUAGGUAGCCGACCUGAGAGGGUGAACGGCCACACUGGAACUGAGAAACGGUCCAGACUCCUACGGGAGGCAGCAGUAGGGAAUAUUCCGCAAUGGGCGAAAGCCUGACGGAGCAACGCCGCGUGAGUGAAGAAGGUCUUCGGAUCGUAAAGCUCUGUCAACAGGGACGAAACAAGACGGUACCUGAGAAGGAAGCCACGGCAAACUACGUGCCAGCAGCCGCGGUAAUACGUAGGUGGCAAGCGUUGUCCGGAAUAACUGGGCGUAAAGCGCAUGUAGACGGCAUGAUAAGCCAAAUGUGAAAUGUAGGGGCUCAACCCCUACACUGCGAUUGGAACUGUCAAGCUUGAGUGCAGGAGAGGCAAAUGGAAUUCCCAGUGUAGCAGUGAAAUGCGUAGAGAUUGGGAGGAACACCAGUGGCGAAGGCGAUUUGCUGGACUGCAACUGACGUUGAGAUGCGAAAGCCAGGGGAGCAAACGGGAUUAGAUACCCCGGUAGU
rnacentral:rRNA from 1 species